rnacentral:rRNA from 1 species
CACCAGACUCCUACGGGAGGCAGCAGUGGGGAAUAUUGCACAAUGGGGGAAACCCUGAUGCAGCGACGCCGCGUGAGCGAUGAAGUAUUUCGGUAUGUAAAGCUCUCUCAGCAGGGAAGAAAAUGACGGUACCUGACUAAGAAGCCCCGGCUAACUACGUGCCAGCAGCCGCGGUAAUACGUAGGUGGCAAGCGUUGUCCGGAUUUACUGGGUGUAAAGGGCGUGCAGCCGGAGAGACAAGUCAGAUGUGAAAUCCACGGGCUCAACCCGUGAACUGCAUUUGAAACUGUUUCCCUUGAGUGUCGGAGAGGUAAUCGGAAUUCCUUGUGUAGCGGUGAAAUGCGUAGAUAUUAGGAGGAACACCAGUGGCGAAGGCGGCCUGCUGGACGAUGACCGACGUUGAGGCUCGAAAGCGUGGGGAGCAAACAGGAUUAGAUACCCCGGUACA